rfam:Ictidomys tridecemlineatus contig024728, whole genome shotgun sequence.
GGGGUUGUGGCUCAGCGAUAGAGCACUUGCCUAUCAUGCGUGAGGCCCUGGGUUCAAUUCUCAGCACCA